GCCCCGGCUAACUACGUGCCAGCAGCCGCGGUAAUACGUAGGGGGCGAGCGUUGUCCGGAAUUAUUGGGCGUAAAGAGCGUGUAGGCGGUUCGGUAAGUCUGCCGUGAAAACCUGGGGCUCAACCCCGGGCGUGCGGUGGAUACUGCCGGGCUAGAGGGUGGUAGAGGCGAGUGGAAUUCCCGGUGUAGCGGUGAAAUGCGCAGAUAUCGGGAGGAACACCAGUAGCGAAGGCGGCUCGCUGGGCCAUUCCUGACGCUGAGACGCGAAAGCUAGGGGAGCGAACAGGAUUAGAUACCCUGGUAGUCCUAGCCGUAAACGAUGAACACUAGGUGUGGGGGGAGUCGAAUCCCUCUGUGCCGCAGCCAACGCGUUAAGUGUUCCGCCUGGGGAGUACGGCCGCA
rnacentral:rRNA from 1 species